ensembl:processed_transcript Gm15964 predicted gene 15964
CUCUCUGACUUCCGGUUUUCAGUUGCCAGCUCUCCAAAGUCAGGUUCCUGCCAAGACGUGAUGCAACCAGGAGAACUCGCGCCAGAGCUGAUGGCAGUGCUCUACCCUUAGCCCUCCAGUGCCGUGGGCUACCAGACUUUCUCUUAUUAAUAAAGUUAGCCCUCCCCGGGCAUUUAGUUGUAGCAGUACCGGACCGGACGGAUAAUACACCGUGCCUGGAUGAAAGAGCGGACAGAACCAAGCUUGCCUGUAAUAGAAGGCGGGAACCAACUCUAAACAUCAGAGGAAAGAACACGCCUUCUGGAACAUCUUCAGCAGCACAGAUGUCCUCUUUACCUGUGUACCCCAGCAGGUAUUUCCGUUUGGCCAUGGUCACGAUGAAAAGGCACCCAGCAAGGCCCUGCCUCUCUCUCAGCACUGGGCCCACUCCUGCAUCAGGACCGGUCACUGCUCCUUGGCCCAGUGGAUCUUGCCAUCUUCUCGCAGCUGCACAGCCCCACUGGCCACCAGCUGGAGGGCGGCAGGAAAGAUCUUAUGUUCUGCCACUCUGACCCGUUCAGACAGCGUUGCCACAGUGUCACCCCUCCGCACAGGGACAGCUUCCUGCAGGAUGAUUUGUCCGGCAUCUACAUCUUCCUGGAAAAGGAAGCAAAGGUUUUCAACCUUUCCAGCCAGUGUAGACGGCAGCCAGACGCUAGGUAGCUCAAAAGCUUGGUAGGGACAGAUAUACUCACAGCGACAAAGUGUACGGUACACCCAGUAAUUGUGACUCCAGCUUCCAGGACUUGCUCGUGGGCAUUUGAACCCUUAAAAGAAGGGAGCAAGGAUGGGUGGAUGUUGAGCAUUUUCCCUAGAAAGCAAGAGAGCAGGAGUCAGAAAUCUCAGGUCCUGUUUAGACUUUCAAGGAACAAGAGAUAACUACAGUUACUGAGGGGAUGAACUCUGGAGGGAAGGUCAGGACCGGUCACUGCUCCUUGGCCCACUAAUGUGCGGACCAAUGACCACACCAGGCUGCAGUCAGAGGUUUUAAGGAAGAGAACAGGGCUGGCAAGAUGGCUGACGGGUACAGGGUGCCUGCCACCGUGCCUGAUGACUGCGUUCAAUCCCUAGGACACACAUAGUGGAAGGAGGCACCUAACCCUACAAAGUGUCCUCUCACUACCACAGCAUGCUGAGGUGACCCACUGCUCCAUGAUCACUUAGUAAAUAGAGAGCAAGGAGAAAGGAGACAAAGAGACUGUAGAUACUGCAGUUUUAGUGACAACGCCGUGCUUGUCAUCUUCUGUGUAUUAUACAGGAGGGCGUGGGUCUCAAGUCUUUCUGUGGUACCAGGACCUGACACAUGCUAGGUAGGUAAGUGCGCUACUGCAGAACUAGCCCCUGGCUACUGCUGCUCUCUAUUCUGCAAGAGCAGCAAGUGCUCUUGGCCACAAAAUGUCUUGGUUUUUGCGACAGCGUCUUGGCUUUGAACUGAUUCCAUCAAGGCUGAUCUCUGUCCAGCUCUCCCUUCAUCUUGGGAUCUUCCUCCUUUUUCUCUCCCGUUCUUUCACUCUGAGUUUGAGAGAGUAUGUAAUGAGCACGCUGGCCUCCUGCCUGCCUCAGCUUCAGGAUGCUGGGGUUAAAGGUGUGGACUGAGUCUCACUUUUUGCUGACUUCUUGAUUCUACUGACAGUAAGAUGUGUCUUUAGUAAUGGAGCCAGGGAUUAGUGACAGCCAGUGCAGCUGAGUGAACUGCUCAGGGAAUCAGUCUGGGCACUUCCUACCGCGCUGACCCCGGCCCGGGAGAACUGCUUGCUUACCGUCCCAUUUUCUGACGAAGGGCCCAGAGAGGAUCCUCAUGAACCCUGCGAGACAGACGAUGUCUACCGAGAACUCUUCCAGGACGUGGUCAACUGCAGUGUCAAACUCAACACGAUUUUUAUAUAAUUUGUGAUUAAUUACCUGUAACAGGAAAAAGGCAAAUAGCCUAUUUUCAGAGGAUCAGCAGUAAUUUAAACACAACCUUGCAGAGACUACACUUCAGCAGUAAAGAUGUACCCACUUAGAGGGUGGCUGAGGAGCGGGCAGGAUGCAAACCCAGCACCCACCCCUAACUGGGAAGUCCCACGAUUUCACAAGCAUCCGCGGCCUCCUGAGAGCAGAGUGUGAGUUUCAGUACAGCCUGCAGGGCCUGGAGGUGUGGGCACAGUGGUACAUCCACGGCUCCAGACCAAACACCUGCCCACCAGGCCUGGCCUGCAGGAAGGCCUCUUCUGCAGUCACUCACCCUGGUGGGAAUACCGGCUCGCUCUGCUCGGUCUAAGCCGGCUACGGCGGCUUUGUUGGAGAUGACGAGAACAAUAUGUGAGGAGCUCUUAGGAUCCCGGGUGCUGUCUAUGAGCGCCUGGAGGUUUGACCCUGAAAAAGCAGGACAGCAAGUGAGCUGACACUUCUGAGAGCUCGGUCCUUCUUUGCUUUAUCAUGACCUUGGGCCUAAAAGAUGUUGAAACUGUAAGAGCACCCUGCAGGACAGCCACAGCACUGGGCCACUGUCUAAAGACGAUGCCUCCGACAACACACUGUUCAGGGCAGUGCUACUCGUGGCAAAAAACAGAGCUGAAUGAGGUGGCCCCCCACUAAAUCCCACACUAGGAAGUCUGUGGCCAGGCCAGCCCGGGUUACUUGGCGAUUCUGAAAGCCAACAGCAAAGUCACUGUGGUGACCAAUAGAAUCAAAUGUUCCCCUACCCAGGUCUUUUAAUAAAAGACAAUUUUAG